rnacentral:tRNA from 1 species
UGUCAGCUUAGUACAAGGGGUGAAGUAUGAGAGAUUGUAAAUCUUUUGGUGAUGUUUCAGCUGAAAU